rnacentral:rRNA from 1 species
CACAAGCGGUGGAUGAUGUGGAUUAAUUCGAUGCAACGCGAAAACCUUACCUACCCUUGACAUGCCAGGAACUUGCCAGAGAUGGCUUGGUGCCCGAAAGGGAGCCUGGACACAGGUGCUGCAUGGCUGUCGUCAGCUCGUGUCGUGAGAUGUUGGGUUAAGUCCCGCAACGAGCGCAACCCUUGUCAUUAGUUGCCAUCAUUCAGUUGGGCACUCUAAUGAGACUGCCGGUGACAAGCCGGAGGAAGGUGGGGAUGACGUCAAGUCCUCAUGGCCCUUAUGGGUAGGGCUUCACACGUCAUACAAUGGUCGGUACAGAGGGUUGCCAAGCCGCGAGGGGGAGCUAAUCCCACAAAGCCGAUCGUAGUCCGGAUCGCAGUCUGCAACUCGACUGCGUGAAGUCGGAAUCGCCAGUAAUCGUGGAUCAGCAUGUCACGGUGAAUACGUUCCCGGGUCUU